AACUCCCUACUAGAUGUAUGCUCGUGCUCGCUGCCGCGCAGGGGAAUCCGGUGCGAAUCCGGAACUGUCCCGCAACGGUAUGCGAUGUGCUGCUCUGUGCCGCAAGCCCGUCCUCUUACGGGUGAGCCGCUCCGGGCGGCCGUCGCGAGUCCGAGUGCCUGCAGGCCGUGUCGAAAGACGU
rnacentral:ncRNA from 15 species